CUUAACCUACAGACUGCGUUUGAAACUGUAUAUCUUGAGAGCAGCAGAGGAAGGCGGAAUUCCUGGUGUAGUGGUGAAAUACGUAGAUAUCAGGAAGAACACCAGUGGCGAAGGCGGUCUUCUGGGCUGCAUCUGACGCUCAUGUACGAAAGCUGGGGUAGCGAACGGGAUUAGAUACCCCGGUAGUCCCAGCUGUAAACGAUGGACACUAGGUGUUGGAGGUUCGAAUCCUUCAGUGCCGGAGUUAACGCAUUAAGUGUCCCGCCUGGGGAAUACGGUCGCAAGACUGAAACUCAAAGGAAUUGACGGGGGCCCGCACAAGCGGUGGAGCAUGUGGUUUAAUUCGACGCAACGCGAAGAACCUUACCUGGAUUUGACAUCUCGGGAAUUUCUAUGAAAAUAGAAAGUGCCCUUCGGGGAGCCC
rnacentral:rRNA from 1 species